AAAAAAAAAGUUUACUCACACGAUUGUUAUUGUUCGUGGAAAGUUAGGGUUUAGGGUUUAUUGAACCCUAAUCGAAAGUUACGUAUUUUUACUACAAAACCUUUGUUCAUUCCGAAAAUUAUAUAUUAGUAAUCACUUUCAGUACGUGCAUACAAGUUAUCUCGAAGACCAGUAGUGGUCUAUAGUUGUCUAACUACGAGAACUAAUCUCAUGUGUUUGUAAGUUUAUGCAUGCACGGAAUUGCUGCCGUCCCCUUUGUAUAAGCACCUUGCCACGCCGUCAUCAUAGACAUAGAAAUUAUGUAACAAAAUCGCGGGUUCAUGCACUUACAAGUUCAAAUAUUUUAUAUAAGUAUUUCCUUAUCUUAUAGAUAUUUAUAUCCUUGACUUUGGUACUGUUUUAAGGGCAAACCAUUCGUGAUCAGGUAGACUAACAUAUUGGGCACACAGUGGAUAAGUGGCUAUACAUAAUUGAGUAUAUUAAGUGGGAAAGUCCUUGAGUUGCAAGGUAGACCUUCCAAGGGCUGUGAUUUUUUUCAGCAUUAACCAUUAGGAUGUAUGAUCUUUAAUUAGAAAUUGGAUUUUCC
rnacentral:lncRNA from 1 species